GACAGAGGGUGCAAACGUUGUUCGGAAUUACUGGGCGUAAAGCGCGUGUAGGCGGCCCUGCAAGUCGGAUGUGAAAUCCCACGGCUCAACCGUGGAAGUGCAUUCGAAACUGCAGGGCUAGAGUCCUGGAGAGGAAGGUGGAAUGCUUGGUGUAGAGGUGAAAUUCGUAGAUAUCAGGAGGAACACCAAUGGCGAAGGCAGCUCGCUGGGACGUGACUGACGCUGAGACGCGAAAGCGUGGGGAGCAACAGGG
rnacentral:rRNA from 1 species